rnacentral:sRNA from 1 species
ACCAUGGACUAUAACAGCUGAGCUCUUCAGUUUUUGGUUGUAACUUUGAGAUGCUUACCGUGAAUGAGCGAGUUCGAAUCAAGAACCACGACCUCUUCUCGAACAUGCAUAGGAGAGGGUCAGAAAUUGCCAUCCGUGCUAUGGACUGAAUGAUUUCCCUUCGGUUACUCAAUGGCUUGCAGCUCCACAAAACCAAACCCGCUUAAAUAUUAACGAUAGCAGGAAUGAAAUCAAACGCUCUCUGUUAUCUUCUUCUUCAUGGCAAUGGAUCACCCGAACCCAAUUAUUCUCAACUUCUGUUCUACUGGCGCUGUACGCAACCAACCACCAACUAUCAGUUCUAUUUCCGUGUCUUUUUAAUCUUCCAGCAAUGGCUCCUUAGAACAAAAUUUUCAUAGGCAA